rnacentral:rRNA from 1 species
AGUGAACGCUGGCGGCGUGCUUAACACAUGCAAGUCGAACGAGAACGGGUUAUAGCUUGCUAUAAUUGUCAGCUAAGUGGCGCACGGGUGAGUAAUGUAUAGGUAAUAUGCCUCUUACUAAGGGAUAACAAAUGGAAACGUUUGCUAAUACCUUAUACUCCUUUUAAACAGAAGUUUAAAAGGGAAAGAUUUAUUGGUAAGAGAUUAGCCUGUAUUGUAUCAGUUAGUUGGUGGGGUAAUGGCUUACAAAGACUAUGACACAUAACUGGUUUGAGAGGAUGAUCAGUCACACUGGAACUGAGACACGGUCCAGACUCCUACGGGAGGCAGCAGUGGGGAAUAUUGCACAAUGGACGAAAGUCUGAUGCAGCAACGCCGCGUGGAGGAUGACACAUUUCGGUGCGUAAACUCCUUUUAUAUGAGAAGAUAAUGACGGUAUUAUAUGAAUAAGCACCGGCUAACUCCGUGCCAGCAGCCGCCGUAA